UGGGGCCGGAAGAGGGAAUUCCUCCUGGCCUUCUUCACCCCAGGAAGAGCUCCUCGUUCUGUUGAUAAUUUGAGGAAUAUUGUGCUCUGUGGCACCUUCCUGUCUAAACACGUUCACAGCCAUUUUGAUGGGCUUCUGGGUGAAGGAGAGAGGCCUCUCCAAACAUUCCCAGGGGGACGGCUCACCCCACCUGGCUCAGGUGCCCACAUGUAGAUAUAGAUUGUGGAGGGUGACAUCCUUCAAUCAGCAAGACUGAAAACGGGACUCAGAACUCUUGUGCUUGGGACAAAGAAUCUGCAAUUGGUUUUUGGAAAGAGCAAAAUGAGGGUGGAUUCAGUUGAGGUUACAGAGUGGGCCUCUCCUGCUGACUCCUAUGAGGUGGGAGCCAGGUGUCAGGUGCAGAGCUGGAGAAAAAUGCACUGGAAUGGGGCAUCAGGGGCAGAGGUGGGGAGACAUGCAUUGGAGUUGUGGCAUCAGGAGCAGAGCCGGGAAGAAAUGCAUUAGAUCCAUAGUGUUAGCAGCAGAGCUGGGGAGAAAUGCACUGGAAUGGGGCAUCAGGUGCAGAGCUGGGGAGACAUGCAUUGGAGCUGCAGCAUCAGGGGCAGAGCUGGGGAGACAUGCAUUGGAGCUGCAGUGUCAGGAGCAGAGCUUGGGAGAAAUGCACUGGAGUCGUGGCAUCAGGAGCAGAGGUGCAGGGAGGGGCCUUCUGUCUGAACUUCUGCAGUUUUCUUCUUUUCCUCAUUGCUCCUUUUACUUUCAUGUUAUUUAUUGACCACACAGUGUUUGGGCCUCUGAGGCCCUGCUUGCUGAGGGCUGGUCUGUCCUUUAAAAAUGCUUACAAGAAGGAUGAAGAGAUAAAAGCUCAUAAACCGAAAAGAAGUCACGUGCAUGGUGGAAUGGUGGAAUCUGUUCAGAAUCACAGAGCUGCACCCUGCACUGUGGAUCAGGGAAGUGUGUGCUCUGAGAUGGAUGUGGUCCUGUGCCUCCAACAUCCUCCCUGCUCCCCACCUCCUGCCCUGGUUGCAGGGGGUGUCUCUGUGCUCAGCCACAGUCCACUCUGAGCCUGUAUAGUUUCUUCCUCAGAAACAUACAAUUUAGGCUGACCUACAGUUUAAUGUGUAAAAGAAGAGAUGGUCGAUGACCAGUGCCCCACUGUAGUAAUAAAAUGUCUAGACAGCAAUUAACACUCAUUUCCCCUAAGAAUGUCACUGCGUCAUCAGAAAAUCUCGACUGCUUUAAAAGGAAGCAGUCUAGGUAUAUUUCAUCAUUAAUCAAUUUCUAAAUCUGAUCAGAAUUUGCACAGGUUGCAGUCGUAGGACCAGACCUGCCCCCACUCCCAGCGCCUCUGGGCCCCUUACCUGGGGUCCGAGCGUCCCUCAUCCUGGCAAACAGGGCUGGAGAUUUGUUUGGGAAUGAGGGGUCCGGGCGUCCCUCAUCCUGGCAAACAGGGCUGGAUAUUUGUUUGGGAAUGGGGGGUCUGGGCGUCCCUUAUUCUGGCAAACAGGGCUGGAGAUUUGUUUGGGAAUGCUGCCUGUUUGAAGGAGGCACUGCUUUCGGUUUCUCUGUUUGCUUUCUGUUCAACUGCUAAUCCUUUUGUACUUGGAGCUAGAAGCCAAGCCUGGGACCAGCUGGCAGGUGGUUUAUCAGGACCACCUGAGUGCCCUGUCC
rnacentral:lncRNA from 1 species